CUGGGCAUGAGGGGUCCGUCACCACCACGUCAAACACCCCUAAAGCAAUAUCUGCAGGGAGCAGGGGAAGGUGGACGAGGAAAGGAGACUCAAUUUAGCCCUCCAGUAAAAAGACAGUGUCUCAGUUCCCAAUCUCUACCAACUCUAUCCAGCCACUUCUUGGUCCGGCAAGUGAACUUGCAUUACUGCCUCUCCUGGGAAGCUACACAAAGGAACGCCUUACCUGGGCUUCAUUGAAGUCUUCAAGAAUGUAGCCAGCUCCUGCUCGAAGCUGGCAUUCUGUGUACUGCUUGUUGAAAGGAGGAAUUUCUAAAAAUUCUAUUAAAAAACAUAACCAAGAUAAUAA